UCUCGGCUUAUCACAGUAUUAAAACAACUACGGGGCACUCAAUCCUUUCGGAUUAAUUCUCGGGAUGUCAAACCCUGGUAAGGUUCUUCGUUUAUCAUCGAAUUAAAGAACACGUUCCACCGCUUGUGCGGGUCCCCGUCAAUUCCUUUAUGUUUUAGUCUUGCGACCGUACUCCACAGGCGGGAUACUUAACGCGUUAGCUUCGCUACUGAAGGGGUCGAUACCUCCAACAGCUAGUAUCCAUCGUUUACGGCGUGGACUAC
rnacentral:misc_RNA from 1 species